rnacentral:rRNA from 1 species
ACUCCUACGGGAGGCAGCAGUGGGGAAUAUUGCACAAUGGGCGCAAGCCUGAUGCAGCCAUGCCGCGUGUAUGAAGAAGGCCUUCGGGUUGUAAAGUACUUUCAGCAGUGAGGAAGGUGGAGUCGUUAAUAGCGGCCUCAUUUGACGUUAGCUGCAGAAGAAGCACCGGCUAACUCCGUGCCAGCAGCCGCGGUAAUACGGAGGGGGUUAGCGUUGUUCGGAAUUACUGGGCGUAAAGCGCACGUAGGCGGACUAUUAAGUUAGAGGUGAAAUCCCAGGGCUCAACCCUGGAACUGCCUUUAAUACUGGUAGUCUUGAGUUCGAGAGAGGUGAGUGGAAUUCCGAGUGUAGAGGUGAAAUUCGUAGAUAUUCGGAGGAACACCAGUGGCGAAGGCGGCUCACUGGCUCGAUACUGACGCUGAGGUGCGAAAGUGUGGGGAGCAAACAGGAUUAGAUACCCUGGUAGCUACG